GGCUUAAUGGUCUAGCGGUAUGAUUCCUGCUUUGGGAUGCACUCUCUUGCAGGAGGUCCCGGGUUCAAUCCCCGGUUGAGCCC